ensembl:snRNA U6 U6 spliceosomal RNA
AUGCUCACUUCGGCAGCACAUAGACUAAAAUUGAAACGAUACAAAGAAGAUUAGCAUGGCUCCUGUGCAAGGAAGACAAAAAAAUUUGUGAAGUGCUCCACAUUAAA